ensembl:lncRNA
CUAAAUGGGAACAUAGCUUGGGAUCUGUGAUUUUGGGAUACUAACCUGACUGCAGGGAUAACUGGAUGGGAUUACAUCAGCUGCCUUGGUUAGGAGACAACAUUAACCUUGGCUUUUAAAGAUUUUGUGAUUCCUGAGCACAUUAGACAAGCCUGCAGCCUUAGAUGUCAACUGGACUUCCUGAAGAGUAUAAAGUUGAGGUGUGCCACUUCCCACAUCACAAAGCUCCUCCAGGAAAUGCUGCUUCUCACCUGUUGUUGCCAUGGCAAUGGGGAAACAGGCCCUGUUUUGGGAUCUUGGCAACUGUAUCUGAAGGGAGUGGCUGGUGCAUAGGUACAUAAAUCAGCCAUGCUCCACACACUUGCACUGUUACUGUAUUAUGCAUGAGAGUAAACAUUAUUCUUUAUAUGUGUGUAUAUAUUAGAAGUGUGUGUGCGCAAAUAUAUAGAUAGAUGUGCAUGUGUAUAUACUUACUCUUUUUGCUAGAAGGCCCUUGCAGAACUUGACUGAGAAAGACGCCUUAAUGAAGGACAUGAACCAGGGAGUCAGGAAGGCAGAAACAAAG